GAGCUCAAGCGAUCCUCCCGCCUCAGCCUCCCAUGAGCCAUCUUGUCCGGCCUCCUGUGUCCUUUUGAUAAGUCCCCCAUCAUUCUUUACUUUUUGGCACAAAUUGCUCUAGAUUCAUUUUAUACUUUCCCUACUGAAGCCUCAAAAUUGGCCAUUUCUUGCAAGGUGCUGUGGUUCCUUUUGAUGCAGGGCGUUCCCCGAUAAAGGGAGGAAAGCCCCCUGGACUUGCCAAGUGAGUUCCUGGCUUCACGUAGGAAUGAAUUAGACAGUGAGCCAACUAGCACAGAAAGUUUAUUGAGACAGAGAUAGUCAAUAGAUCCUACUCCACAGACAGGGUAGGGGUCCUCUCCUGAGUAGGAGGGGGACCACUUAUGGGGCAAUGGUAAUGUUUUUAUGUGUUCAGAAACCCUGUUAAGGAAUAGUUGUAUGUGACCAUCAUUGUCUAAGUUCAGGCCAUAAAGGUUAAUCAUAAAUUGCUAUCACAGAAAGGUAAGUACAAACUGUAAGGCAUCUGGCUUAGUAAUUCAUCCAUCCUCAGGUGGUCCUGGGCUGACAACCUGCUCACUACUUCCCUAUUCAGGGUGGUUAGGGUCUGGUAUGGGUCAAAAUGGCUGCACUCAGGAGCUCUCCACCUUUCUUUUCUGCUUUAUCCCUACAUUACUUUUAAUUGAGACUGUUAUUUAGAAAUCAGUAUGUAGACACUAGAUGUACUCAUUCUAUUGGGUUAUUGCUUCUGGGCCCUUGCAGAGGUCAGAGCUAGAUAAUACCUAAUUUUAUCUAUUUUAAAUCUAUUUUUAAUCAUUCCUUCAAUUUCAAUCAUAGAAUUCUUCAUCACCUUCCCCCAUUCCAGAUUCCAUAUCCCACACUAAGAACCUUGGCUCCUGACAAUAUAUCCUACCAAAUAACAAACCUACUAAGUAAAGUUUAAGAUUGCUUUACAGUUCUUUUGUCUUUGAUGAUAUAAAGUGAAAGCACUCCAUUAAAGUUACUUGGAGUGGUAUAGGAGUAGGGGGUGGGCCAGAAGCUCCUUUUCUGGUGGCAGGGUCUGUGGAAGGAGCUGCGGCACCAUGUCCGGCGGCGAAGGUGGCAAGAAAAAGCCCCUGAAACAGCCCAAGAAGCAGGCCAAGGAGAUGGACGAGGAAGAUAAGGCAUUCAAGCAGAAACAAAAAGAGCAGAAGAAACUCGAGGAGCUAAAAGCGAAGGCUGCGGGGAAAGGCCCCCUGGCUACCGGUGGAAUUAAGAAAUCUGGUAAAAAGUAAGCUGUUCCUUGUGCGUUAGGCGAUGGUGCCCCUUGAUUCCUAUUUAAACAUCAGUAUUCCCCACCAUAACAUCUUUUGCCACCUAUAGCUAAAAUGAAGUGUCUUGGAGCCUAUUGUACAUUUAAGAAUAAACUUUUGUUAAAAUA